UAUAUUAUAAAUUAUAAAAAAUUGAAGCAAAAAAGAACAGAACAGUGGAUCAUAGUGACUAAUGAUACAGCUCUUUUUUUAUUUUAAUUAGAUUACAUUUAUAGGUCCCAUUGAGAGAAACAAUUCUGCCAGCGCUACAUAAACUAACUGAGCUUUAACCUGAUUAUUUUUUAGCAUUACUCAACUUUUUGAAAGUUUGAGCCCUACUUGCAAUAUUAUGUUUGGACUUUAAUUAAAAAAAAUUUAGACAUGGUAGCAUGUUGGGUCACCAUCUGGCAUACAAUCAAGUCCGUCACAUUUUUUCGUUUUAAUUUGUCUAGACCUAAUGAUGCGUGUAACACAAACUCGAGAUGCAUGUUAUUCAUUGCGGCAGCGCUGGGCAACGUCAUUUAUUUAUUUAUUUAUAUUAUUUUUUUCUUAAGAUGAAAUGCUUCCGACAAUUUUAUAUUUUGCAUUACAUUUGCGGCGAAAAUAAAUAUUUGAAAAUUUAAUUUCUUGGUGUAUUUGCCAAGUAAUUAAUUAGCAAUUAUUAUUGGCUCUAAGACGUGAA